AACGAACGCUGGCGGCAUGCCUAACACAUGCAAGUCGAACGAGACCUUCGGGUCUAGUGGCGCACGGGUGCGUACCGCGUGGGAACUUGCCCUUAGGUUCGGAAUACCUCCCCGAAAGGGGUGCUAAUACCGGAUAAUGUCAUAGGACCAAAGAUUUAUCGCUUUUGGAUGGGCCCUCGUUGGAUUCGCUAGUUGGUAGGGUAAAAGCCUACCAAGGCGACGAUCCAUAGCUGGUCUGAGAGGAUGAUCAGCCACACUGGGACUGAGACACGGCCCAGACUCCUACGGGAGGCAGCAGUGUGGAGUAUUGGACAAGGGGCGAAAGCCUGAUACAGCAAUGCCGCGUAAGUGAUGAAGGCCGUAGGGUUGUAAAUCUCUUUUACCCGGGAUGAUAAUGACAGUACCGGGAGAAUAAGCACCGGCUAACUCCGUG
rnacentral:rRNA from 1 species